rnacentral:rRNA from 1 species
AACGUAGGUCCCGAGCGUUAUCCGGAUUUACUGGGCGUAAAGCGUGUUCAGGCGGUCUAGCAAGUCGGGCAUGAAAUCUCUCGGCUCAACCGGGAGGGGUGGUCCGAUACUGCUGGGCUUGAGGGCAGCAGAGGGUGGUGGAAUUCCGGGUGUAGUGGUGAAAUGCGUAGAUAUCAAGAGGAACACCGGAGGUGAAGGCGGGUUGCUGGGCUGACACUGACGCUGAGGCGCGAAAGCUAGGGUAGCAAACGGG